rnacentral:rRNA from 1 species
UACAGAGGUGGCAAGCGUUGUUCGGAUUUACUGGGCGUAAAGGGCGCGUAGGCGGCCACCGCAAGUCGACUGUGAAAUCUCCGGGCUUAACCCGGAAAGGUCAGCCGAUACUGCGGGGCUAGAGUGCAGAAGGGGCAACUGGAAUUCUCGGUGUAGCGGUGAAAUGCGUAGAUAUCGAGAGGAACACCUGCGGCGAAGGCGGGUUGCUGGGCUGACACUGACGCUGAUGCGCGAAAGCCAGGGGAGCGAACGGG